rnacentral:tRNA from 1 species
AGGAUAAUAGUUAAAACAUAACGUUUAAGUUGCAUUUAAAAAUUAUUGAUAUCAAUUUAUCUU